AAACAUGUUUACCAGCAGGAGCCUAAAUCAACAGCUUUGAACAUGAUAGUUCAGAAAGUAGCAGGGAGCCACGAUUCCUGACAUGGGCCACACUGACGUUUUUUAAUUUUUUUACUUUCCCACUGUAUCCAUCUCCUCUCCUGCCCUGCCUUUCUCUACCUUUGUCCUUGGUUAAAAUAAACCAUCAUAGCAUUAAAUCUGUCUCCCACGGUUAAUUACUGCAGUGAUGUGUGAAAGCAUUUAGUUGCAGCACCUUCUCAAUGGGUUUUAAAGACACAGUUUAAUAUUAGUUUGUAUGGUGGUUGCUGUACAUCUUCAAACCAUAAAGACCAUGUCAAGUGCUCCAAGGAAUAAUGAAAUAUUAAUUUCGAGACAAAAAAAUUAAGUGGCUUAAAGAAGAAGCUGUUGUGUAUCCCAUGAGUGGCUUUUAAGACAUUGAUAUCUAUGCUUUGAACAUAUCUAUUCUUAGCCAUUCAAACCACAUGUAAUGAGCCCUAAGUAACUGUCUGCCUUCAAUUUUGUAGCACACAGAUUGAAACCACCAAUCCCUUCUGUCAGAGCACAGCUAUGAAGAAAAGGCCCCCCUUUUCUUACCUACAGUCCUGUAUUUUUGACAACAUUAUCCGAUGUAGAAGACCUGUUACUGUCUUGUGUACACUGGAGAGAAAAAAAAGAUAGAAGCGUGAGCAAGUCAUCCUUUCCCUGGCCCCCUCCUAAAUCCUAAAAAGGAAGAUUAAAAUUGUCAUUGAAAAAUCUUCUGUCUGUGACAAGCUUUAACGUACUUAGUAAACGAGUUUGCAAAGCAGAGUUAAAACUCUACUGGGAAUGGCAUUGCCAAGUUGUUUUUCAAGGUUACUUUCUCUUCAUUAAAAACUUUGUAAAAUAAUAAUGAAGAAGAAACGGCUUCCCAUUAAGGAAAGAAUAAGAUUACUCGUCGGCUUUACUGUUCCCCUACUCGAACUUUCUCUUGG
rnacentral:lncRNA from 12 species